rnacentral:rRNA from 1 species
AGCGGAGGAAAAGAAACCAACAGGGAUUGCCUUAGUAACGGCGAGUGAAGCGGCAAAAGCUCAAAUUUGAAAUCUGGCACCUUCGGUGUCCGAGUUGUAAUUUGAAGAAGGCAACUUUGGAAUUGGCUCUUGUCUAUGUUCCUUGGAACAGGACGUCACAGAGGGUGAGAAUCCCGUGCGAUGAGAUGCCCAAUUCUAUGUAAAGUGCUUUCGAAGAGUCGAGUUGUUUGGGAAUGCAGCUCUAAGUGGGUGGUAAAUUCCAUCUAAAGCUAAAUAUUGGCGAGAGACCGAUAGCGAACAAGUACAGUGAUGGAAAGAUGAAAAGAACUUUGAAAAGAGAGUGAAAAAGUACGUGAAAUUGUUGAAAGGGAAGGGCUUGAGAUCAGACUUGGUAUUUUGCGAUCCUUUCCUUUUUGGUUGGGUUCCUCGCAGCUUACUGGGCCAGCAUCGGUUUGGAUGGUAGGAUAAUGACUAAGGAAUGUGGCACUGCUUCGGUGGUGUGUUAUAGCCUUGGUUGAUACUGCCUGUCUAGACCGAGGACUGCGUCUUUUGACUAGGAUGUUGGCAUAAUGAUCUUAAGCCACCCGUCUUG